AGAGCAAGUAACGUCUAAAUUAACUUUUUUUUUGCUGAUGAACUGUAUAAAUGAGUGUCUAAUAGUGUUUUAAAUGUGUGCAUUCUUUAUUUUAGCAUUUUGGUGCAUUUUCUUUAAAAAUUAAAAAUUCUGUCUAAAAACCACAGUAAUGCGCCACCUUCAGCUGAAAACAUAGAAUUUGAGUCAUUUUGAAUAAAUUUUAGCCAAUGGCUAAAGAGUAAAGUACUACGUAAACCAGUAGAGUACUACGUAGCAGCUCCGUGCCAAAGUUAUAAAAGCAACGAGCGUCUCGGCCACGCCCUGUGGCGAGUGGGAGUUGGAUUUGCAAGCGAGUGUAGGAGGUCAGCGGUAGUUCAGCAUUAGCGUAUAGCAUUAGCAUAUCCUAGUCUUUAGCAUAUCUUUUAGUGUUAUAAAUACUUAUUUAGUGUUAGCUUGGCUGUUGUAUAUUAUAGUUUAGUUAGUGUUUGGCUGUUAGUGUAAUUGGGAAAGUAGUUCGGGUUUAGUGUUCCAUAUCGUCUUAGUAUUGGUGAGUAGCUGUAGUGUAGUAUGGUUGCGGUGACUCUGUGGGCAUUUUACCCGCGAUUCUGCACGUCUCCGUUUGAAGAGGGAGGCUGUGCCCACCGUGGCUCUUCCGCGAUUUAGAUGCAGCCCACCGACUCUGCUCCCCCACCACGGCGGGCUCCAGUCUGAGGUGAGUCAGCUAAAUAAACGUUUUAACAUCUUCUAAAGACAAUUCCCUACCUAAAUGCAAAGUCUGAGAGACGUGGUUCACUUCCUUUAGCUAGUCAGUCGGCAAUUCUGCAACAGUGACUAACUGACGCAGCACUUGUUGACAGCAUUACAGCGUGAAAUCCAGCUUGUGACCCGGUUCUGUGAGGAAUUCUGUUCAGGAGGUCGCAUUUCAGGCUCUCCACAUCAUAUGUGACUGACUUUUACGUUAUAACAACGAUCACACACUAGGAAUGUUAUAAAGCGCCUAUAUAGGAGAUUCUUUUGUAUAUUAUCUGACUAUAAACUCCAACAACAAUGUGCUUCUAUUUUUUUUUUCAGGCUAAAUCUACCCAAGACACUGGCUGUCAGACUGAUUUAGCUGCAAGAAUGCACUUGUCCAGGCUGAUGUGAAACCUUCCCUGUAGCAAAGCCAGCCAGAAUGGAGUUCACAGCCGCAGUGUGUCUGGUGACCCACGGGGACCAUGAUGAAAAUUCAUCUUCCAGAAGGUCCCAGAGCGUCCAGACCCCCUGAAAAGACCAAGGUGUGAGGUGUCUGCUGUUGAUUCCAGCUUCCACCUCAGUGACAGUGCAAGCUCAGUGAACUGUUCAAGGACAUUCAGCAAAAUAUGGACUACACCAUGAGGCAUGCACACAUUAAUAUUCUAUAAGAGCACAUAAGGUGAGCAACACCACAUAUUGUACACUGUCCUGAAUUUGUUUUCUUUCUGCAUCUCAUUAGCCUGGCUGAUCACCUGAUAACUCCUGUCAUCUGGUUAUGACAGCAUGAGGAUGUCCUCACACACCUGUAACCUAUCAGCUCAUCUGGCAGAAUAGAGAGAGAAGAGACAACACCACAUCUCCUGUUCCUGGAAAGCCUUCAGCCUUCCUUCGAUGACUGAGAACCUCCAUCAGCUCUGUCUCCUGUCUGCCUACAAUUAUUAUAAUAAAUAUUGUGUUUGACAA